UGGUUCCGUGACUAUCACUUGCAUAAU
rnacentral:sRNA from 1 species